rnacentral:rRNA from 1 species
CGAACGCUGGCGGCGUGCUUAACACAUGCAAGUCGAACGAUGAACCACCUUCGGGUGGGGAUUAGUGGCGAACGGGUGAGUAACACGUGGGCAAUCUGCCCUUCACUCUGGGACAAGCCCUGGAAACGGGGUCUAAUACCGGAUACUGACCUGCCAAGGCAUCUUGGCGGGUCGAAAGCUCCGGCGGUGAAGGAUGAGCCCGCGGCCUAUCAGCUUGUUGGUGAGGUAAUGGCUCACCAAGGCGACGACGGGUAGCCGGCCUGAGAGGGCGACCGGCCACACUGGGACUGAGACACGGCCCAGACUCCUACGGGAGGCAGCAGUGGGGAAUAUUGCACAAUGGGCGAAAGCCUGAUGCAGCGACGCCGCGUGAGGGAUGACGGCCUUCGGGUUGUAAACCUCUUUCAGCAUGGAAGAAGCGAAAGUGACGGUACCUGCAGAAGAAGCGCCGGCUAACUACGUGCCAGCAGCCGCGGUAAUACGUAGGGCGCAAGCGUUGUCCGGAAUUAUUGGGCGUAAAGAGCUCGUAGGCGGCUUGUCACGUCGGUUGUGAAAGCCCGGGGCUUAACCCCGGGUCUGCAGUCGAUACGGGCAGGCUAGAGUUCGGUAGGGGAGAUCGGAAUUCCUGGUGUAGCGGUGAAAUGCUCAGAUAUCAGGAGGAACACCGGUGGCGAAGGCGGAUCUCUGGGCCGAUACUGACGCUGAGGAGCGAAAGCGUGGGGAGCGAACAGGAUUAGAUACCCUGGUAGUCCACGCCGUAAACGGUGGGCACUAGGUGUGGGCAACAUUCCACGUUGUCCGUGCCGCUAGCUAACGCAUUAAGUGCCCCGCCU